GGUGGAGGCGGUUCAGGCGGAGGUGGCUCUGGCGGUGGCGGAGUC
rnacentral:misc_RNA from 1 species